GACGAACGCUGGCGGCGUGCUUAACACAUGCAAGUCGAACGGAAAGGCCCUGCUUGCAGGGUGCUCGAGUGGCGAACGGGUGAGUAACACGUGGGUGAUCUGCCCCUUACUUUGGGAUAAGCCUGGGAAACUGGGUCUAAUACUGGAUAGGACCAUGCUGUAGGUGGUGUGGUGGAAAGAUUAGUUUCGGUAAGGGAUGAGCUCGCGGCCUAUCAGCUUGUUGGUGGGGUAAUGGCCUACCAAGGCGUCAACGGGUAGCCGGCCUGAGAGGGUGGACGGCCACAUUGGGACUGAGAUACGGCCCAGACUCCUACGGGAGGCAGCAGUGGGGAAUAUUGCACAAUGGGCGCAAGCCUGAUGCAGCGACGCCGCGUGGGGGACGACGGCCUUCGGGUUGUAAACUCCUUUCAGCCAUGGCGAAUCCCUUGUGGUGACGGUAGUGGUAGAAGAAGCACCGGCUAACUACGUGCCAGCAGCCGCGGUAAUACGUAGGGUGCGAGCGUUGUCCGGAAUUACUGGGCGUAAAGAGCUCGUAGGUGGUCUGUCGCGUCAUUUGUGAAAGCCCGGGGCUUAACUCCGGAUUGGCAGGUGAUACGGGCAUGACUGGAGUACUGUAGGGGAGACUGGAAUUCCUGGUGUAGCGGUGAAAUGCGCAGAUAUCAGGAGGAACACCGGUGGCGAAGGCGGGUCUCUGGGCAGUAACUGACGCUGAGGAGCGAAAGCAUGGGUAGCGAACAGGAUUAGAUACCCUGGUAGUCCAUGCCGUAAACGGUGGGCGCUAGGUGUGGGUUUCCUUCCACGGGAUCCGUGCCGUAGCUAACGCAUUAAGCGCCCCGCCUGGGGAGUACGGCCGCAAGGCUAAAACUCAAAGGAAUUGACGGGGGCCCGCACAAGCGGCGGAGCAUGUGGAUUAAUUCGAUGCAACGCGAAGAACCUUACCUGGGCUUGACAUGCACUGGAUGCGGCCAGAGAUGGUUGUUCCCUUUGUGGCUGGUGUGCAGGUGGUGCAUGGUUGUCGUCAGCUCGUGUCGUGAGAUGUUGGGUUAAGUCCCGCAACGAGCGCAACCCUUGUCUCGUGUUGCCAGCAUUUGGUUGGGGACUCGCGGGAGACUGCCGGGGUUAACUCGGAGGAAGGUGGGGAUGACGUCAAAUCAUCAUGCCCCUUAUGUCCAGGGCUUCACACAUGCUACAAUGGCUGGUACAGAGAGUUGCGAUACCGUGAGGUGGGGCUAAUCUCGUAAAGCCAGUCUCAGUUCGGAUUGGAGUCUGCAACUUGACUCCAUGAAGUCGGAGUCGCUAGUAAUCGCAGAUCAGCAAUGCUGCGGUGAAUACGUUCCCGGGCCU
rnacentral:rRNA from 1 species